AUUGAACGCUGGCGGAAUGCUUUACACAUGCAAGUCGAACGGCAGCAUAGAGAGCUUGCUCUCUGAUGGCGAGUGGCGAACGGGUGAGUAAUAUAUCGGAACGUACCCAGUAAUGGGGGAUAACGAAUCGAAAGAUUCGCUAAUACCGCAUACGCCCUACGGGGGAAAGCGGGGGAUCGUAAGACCUCGCGUUAUUGGAGCGGCCGAUAUCUGAUUAGCUAGUUGGUGAGGUAAAGGCUCACCAAGGCGACGAUCAGUAGCUGGUUUGAGAGGACGACCAGCCACACUGGAACUGAGACACGGUCCAGACUCCUACGGGAGGCAGCAGUGGGGAAUUUUGGACAAUGGGGGCAACCCUGAUCCAGCCAUUCCGCGUGAGUGAAGAAGGCCUUCGGGUUGUAAAGCUCUUUCGCAAGGGAAGAAAACUUAUCUACUAAUACUAGGUGAGGCUGACGGUACCUUGAUAAGAAGCACCGGCUAACUACGUGCCAGCCGCCGCCGUAA
rnacentral:rRNA from 1 species